CUGCUGCCUCCCGUAGGAGUUUGGGCCGUGUCUCAGUCCCAAUGUGGCCGUCCACCCUCUCAGGCCGGCUACUGAUCGUCGCCUUGGUGGACCGUUACCCCGCCAACAAGCUAAUCAGACGCGGGUCCAUCUUACACCACCGGAGUUUUUCACACAAAUCCAUGCGGCUUCGUGCGCUUAUGCGGUAUUAGCACCUAUUUCUAAGUGUUAUCCCCCAGUGUAAGGCAGGUUACCCACGCGUUACUCACCCGUCCGCCACUAAGAUUUUA
rnacentral:rRNA from 1 species